rnacentral:rRNA from 1 species
UACGAAGGGGGCUAGCGUUGCUCGGAAUUACUGGGCGUAAAGCGCACGUAGGCGGAUUGUUAAGUCGGGGGUGAAAUCCUGGAGCUCAACUCCAGAACUGCCUUCGAUACUGGCGAUCUCGAGUUCGGGAGAGGUGAGUGGAACUGCGAGUGUAGAGGUGAAAUUCGUAGAUAUUCGCAAGAACACCAGUGGCGAAGCGGCUCACUGGCCCGAUACUGACGCUGAGGCACGAAAGCUAGGGGAGCGAACGGG